rnacentral:rRNA from 1 species
AGAACGAACGCUGGCGGCAUGCCUAACACAUGCAAGUCGAACGCUCAUCCGGCUUCGGCCGGAUGGGAGUGGCGCACGGGUGAGUAGCGCGUGGGAACCUGCCCUGUUGUGGGGGAUAACCGAGGGAAACUUCGGCUAAUACCGCAUGCGCCCCGGCGAAAGCCGGGGGAAAGAUUUAUCGCAGCAGGAGGGGCCCGCGUCGGAUUAGGUAGUUGGUGGGGUAACGGCCCACCAAGCCGAUGAUCCGUAGCUGGUCUGAGAGGAUGAUCAGCCACACUGGGACUGAGACACGGCCCAGACUCCUACGGGAGGCAGCAGUGGGGAAUAUUGGACAAUGGGGGCAACCCUGAUCCAGCAAUGCCGCGUGAGUGAUGAAGGCCUUAGGGUUGUAAAGCUCUUUCGCCCGCGACGAUGAUGACGGUAGCGGGAGAAGAAGCCCCGGCUAACUUCGUGCCAGCAGCCGC